rnacentral:rRNA from 1 species
AACGCGAAGAACCUUACCAGGUCUUGACAUCCCCAUGAAAGCGCCAGAGAUGGUGCCGCUCUUCGGAGCAUGGGAGACAGGUGGUGCAUGGUUGUCGUCAGCUCGUGUCGUGAGAUGUUGGGUUAAGUCCCGCAACGAGCGCAACCCUUGAUGCUAGUUGCCAGCACGUUGUGGUGGGCACUCUAGGAUGACUGCCGGUGACAAACCGGAGGAAGGUGGGGAUGACGUCAAAUCAUCAUGCCCCUUAUGACCUGGGCUACACACGUACUACAAUGGCCGGUACAACGGGAAGCGAAGGAGCGAUCUGGAGCGAAUCCUUAGAAGCCGGUCUCAGUUCGGAUUGCAGGCUGCAACUCGCCUGCAUGAAGUCGGAAUUGCUAGUAAUCGCGGAUCAGCAUGCCGCGGUGAAUACGUUCCCGGGCCUUGUACACACCGACGCGUA